rnacentral:sRNA from 12 species
CACCUUGGGUUGGUUAAUGCUACACCAACAAGGUAGACAUACAUCCUGUGGAGUAGAACAUGAGCGAUAAAAUUAUUCACCUGACUGAC